AUAUAAUAUAAAGCUAGGCAUAAACAAGGUGAUGUGGCACCUCUCUAUGGUCACCAUUCUUAUUUAUCUUUUUUCUCCAUUUUUUGGCUUUUUCAUUCACUCAUUCCAAUUAAUAAUUAAAAUAAAAACAAGGUUAAUUAUUAAUUAAAGGGAUAGUAGGUUACAAUCCAAACUUUACUCCCCUCAUUUUAAUAACUAAUCGUGGGUGCUAUUGCUCCCGUCCCUUUAAUUAUUUUAAUUAAUGUGUAGUAUUAAUCAAGUAGGAGCUAAAAAGACAAGAACCUAAGCCUCAUAUAUAUAACCAUAGGGUAUAGCUUCAACUGUGCAUUGUCAAAUUCUAUAGCAUAUGUAUCAUCUUGACACGUAAAGGGAUAUUGGAUCUUAAAGUUCAAUUCAAGUUCACCAAGGUUCGUAUUUUCAUUUCUACUUUGCAUAUAUAGUUACAAUUUAUCUUGUGAUAUAGAUAUAUAUAUCGUGAUAGUGGAUACUCUUCGUUGGUUAAAAUUAUAUAUGUGUCAUCUUCAAGCAUAUUCAAAUGGACCUGUUUCAAGUGCUAAAGGUAUUCCGGUGUUUUUGUCGAAAAGUUCACAUUUUAAAGUCCCAUAGUUAGUAAUUAUUUGCUAAUUUUCAGUAACUUGUAUGUCAUUUGCAUGAGCAGCGUGGCACAGAUGAUAUUUACUUAAAUGUUGGAUGUAUUUCUUCUAAGGUAAUUAUAUUCACUCGCUGAAUUCAUAAGUUUUUCCUACUCUUAUUUGUUGAAAUUUCUUUUUACAAUUCAUAAUUUUUCAAUUAAAAAUUCAGAAGUUUGAUAUUGUGUUACUUUGAAAGCUGCUUAUGGAAUUUAAUGAUUUGAAAAUAUAGGCAAAAUCUGACCUUUUAACAAGUAGUGAUGAUUUGUCUAGGAUUUGCUGUGAAAUUAACAAGAGGUUACAAAAAAGGACAUUUUUUACUAGCGUAGAUGGAUUUAACUUUUCACUAUAAAAAUAUUUGGUAUUGAUAAAAAACUUGAACUUAUUUAUGCUUUUUUAAUCUUUUGUCUAGCAAAUGAAAACAAUAUGUAUAUUGUACUGAUAAUUUACAUCAGUAGUUGAGGGAUUGUUUGUUCAUAUUUCUACUGUAAUCUAUUUAUAAUAUAAAGCUAAUGAUAGAUAAGGUGAGGUAAUACCUUUCUAUGACUAGCAUUAUUAUUUUCUUUUUUCCUCCUUUUUUGGCUUUUCUCUAAUUUUUUGGCUUUUUCUCCUAUUUCUUAUGUAUCUUUGAGACAACAUUAACUGGCUCAAUAAAUAAUAGUACUAACUAAUACUCCACUUCUUCCUGUUCCUUUCAGAUAUAUGUUACAGUAGGAUUCUAAUGUUUAUUUGCAGCAAUAAAAAUAACGGUACACCGUACCACUUAUUGCAAUUAAAUUUUCAAUGUUCAGAUUGAUGAAAUGACAAAGUCAAGAAUAACAGUUACUUACUGUAUUAUAUAAAGUCACAUGUUAUUGUCUUUAUGGUUAAAAACUGCCCAAUAGUGAAUAUUUAUGGUAGCAAAGCAAAAGGCAAUUGAAAUAUGUAACUAUAGAAUUUGAAUGACUCUUAUCAGCUUAUGAUUCAUAAUAAAUAAGAACAAUUCCAAACUGAGGCGGAUGGAGCACUAUAACUCGGGGUUCAAUUGGACCCCAAACUUUUGAUGCGGGGUAUAAAUUUAUAUGUAAAAAUUUACUAAAAUUACAAUAAAUAAUAGAUAUGAACUCAUAACUUUAGAAAUAUAAUGAUUUAGUGCUAAAAAUUUAAGAUGUUGAACCCUUAGAAUUUAAAUCCUAGAUCCGCCUCUGAUUCCAAAAGUCCUUAUAAAUACUCAUGAUUCUCCUAACACGCCAAAACUUGCUCUUUGCACUGACCACUUCAAGAUUCAUGAAGCCUUCAUUGCUUGGUGGCAAGAUUCGACCGCAACAAUAGCUAGAGAAGAAGAAACACGGAUGGUUUUUGUUGAGUGAUGCUUCAAAUUUGGAUUGUUUCCAUGAUAACAGUGUGUAUUAAAUCUUUCUGAAGAGCCGUAGACUUCCCUGUCAUCCAACACUAUAUUUUGUCACGAGUUGUUGUACACGGGAGGCGGAGAUCAAAAGCACAGUUGAAGAUUUUUUUUUUUUUUUGGUUACACAAGAUGAAGAAAUAUAGUGAUGGAAAAGGUACAUGUGUCAUAUAGCUCAUGGUUUGUACUCAAUUAUUUUGGCUUAUUUAUAUGCAAGUUAGUGAAUAUCUUGGUAUUUUUAUUAUUUGGGUAUCUUUGAGAAUGCUCAAAUUUUUCACCCUAAGUUGUGUGUUAGAACUAAUAUGUCACUAGCUAUUUUCCCUU